rnacentral:rRNA from 1 species
UACAGAGGUCCCAAGCGUUGUUCGGAUUCACUGGGCGUAAAGGGUGCGUAGGCGGUCGGGUAAGUCUGAUGUGAAAUCUCGGAGCUCAACUCCGAAACUGCAUUGGAUACUAUUCGGCUUGAGGUCUGGAGGGGGGACUGGAAUUCUCGGUGUAGCAGUGAAAUGCGUAGAUAUCAAGUGGAACACCAGUGGCGAAGGCGAGUCUCUGGACAUUUCCUGACGCUGAGGCACGAAAGCCAGGGGAGCAAACGGG